rnacentral:rRNA from 1 species
UGGGGAAUCUUCCGCAAUGGGCGCAAGCCUGACGGAGCAACGCCGCGUGAGUGAAGAAGGUUUUCGGAUCGUAAAGCUCUGUUGAGAGGGACGAGAGGCAAGGCUAGGAAAUGAGCUUUGUAGGACGGUACCUUUCGAGGAAGCCACGGCUAACUACGUGCCAGCAGCCGCGGUAAUACGUAGGUGGCGAGCGUUGUCCGGAAUUAUUGGGCGUAAAGGGAGCGCAGGUGGGAAAGUAAGUCAGUCUUAAAAGUGCGGGGCUCAACCCCGUGAGGGGAUUGAAACUACUUUUCUUGAGUGCAGGAGAGGAAAGCGGAAUUCCUAGUGUAGCGGUGAAAUGCGUAGAUAUUAGGAGGAACACCAGUGGCGAAGGCGGCUUUCUGGACUGUAACUGACACUGAGGCUCGAAAGCCAGGGGAGCGAACGGG